rnacentral:sRNA from 2 species
AUACUGCUGCCAACCUAUCUAUCGCUGCUAAUCUAUCGCUGCUGCCAAUCUACCUACCGCUGCCAAUCUAUCUAUCGCUGCCAACCUACCUACCACUGCUAAUCUAUCACUGCUAAUCUAUCGCUGCUAAUCUAUUGCUGCUAAUCUAUCACUGCUAAUCUAUUGCUGCUAAUCUAUCUAUCACUGCUAAUCUAUCGCUGCCAACCUAUCUACCGCUGCCAACCUACCUACCGCCGCCAAUCUACCUACCACUGCUAAUCUAUCGCUGCUAAUCUAUUGCUGCUAAUCUAUCGCUGCUAAUCUAUUGCUGCUAAUCUAUCUAUCACUGCUAAUCUAUCGCUGCCAACCUACCUACCGCUGCCAACCUAUCUACCACUGCCAACCUACCUACCACUGCUAAUCUAUCGCUGCCAACCUAUAUAGGGUAAAUCAUGGUCCCAUUUGGUCCCAUUUUGUAAAAUGGGAUCAAAUGGGACUGGGACUACUAAUUUAUUAGUAAAACAUGAUCUGGAACUAGAUUUAUAAUAUAAACAGUGUAAAAUAACUAAUUUACUAAACACUAUAUGGGACUAGAACUAAGAUAUCUAAUAAUGAAACUGAGAAAAAAUUUGAUUCCAGUUUCAUAUAUGAUCACACAGCC